rnacentral:rRNA from 1 species
GAUGAACGCUGGCGGCGUGCCUAAUACAUGCAAGUCGAGCGAACGGACGAGAAUCUUGCUUCUCUGAUGUUACCGGCGGAUGGGUGAGUAAUACGUGGAUACCCUAUCUUUAAGAAUGGCUUACCUUAGGGAGACCUGAUACAACAUACGAUGUUAUUUUGAACUGCAUGGUUCUUCAGUGCUAGCCCUUUUUGCUGUCCCUUAUUCAUGGUUCCGCGUUGCAUUAGCUAGUUGGUAGGGUAACGGCUUACCAAGGCUACGAUGCGUAGCCGACCUGAGAGGAUGAUCAGCCACACUGGAACUGAGACACGGUCCAGACUCCUACGGGAGGCAGCAGUAGGGAAUCUUGCACAAUGGGCGAAAGCCUGACGGAGCAACGCCGCGUGUGUGAUGAAGGUCUUCGGAUCGUAAAACUCUGUUAUUAGGGAAGAACAGAAGUGUAAGUAACUGUGCACAUCUUGACGGUACCUACUGAAUAAGCCACGGCUAACUACGUG